AAGUCGUAACAAGGUUUCCGUAGGUGAACCUGCGGAAGGAUCAUUAAUGAAUACACUGGACGCUCUUUUUAGAGGUCCGACCACUCAUUACCUUCACACUGUGCACACACUUCUUUUCACCCAUUUUAAACACUUCAGUAUAAGAAUGUACCAGUCUCUUAAUUGAGCAUAAAUAUAUAAUAAAACUUUCAGCAACGGAUCUCUUGGCUCUCGCAUCGAUGAAGAACGCAGCGAAUUGCGAUAAGUAAUGUGAAUUGCAGAAUUCAGUGAAUCAUCGAAUCUUUGAACGCACCUUGCACUCUUUGGUAUUCCGAAGAGUAUGUCUGUUUGAGUGUCAUGAAACUCUCAACCCCCCUGUUUUGUAACGAGAUGGGCGUGGGCUUGGAUUAUGGCUGUCUGUCGGCGUCAAGCCGGCUCAGCUGAAAUACACGAGCAAUCCAUUUGAAAUAGACGGUUUGACUCGGCGUAAUAAUUAUUUCGCUGAGGACGUCUUCUUUAAAGUCAGCGGUGCUUCUAAUGCGUACUAUACAUCAUAAGCUUUAGACCUCAAAUCAGUCAGGACUACCCGCUGAACUUAAGCAUAUCAAUAAGCGGAGGAAAAGAAACUAACAAGGAUUCCCCCAGUAACGGCGAGUGAAGUGGGAAAAGCUCAACUUUAAAAUCUGGCACCUUCGGUGUCCGAGUUGUAGUCUCAAGAAGUGUUUUCUGUGUCGGUCCGUGUAUGAGUCUGUUGGAACACAGCGUCAUAGAGGGUGACAACCCCGUUCAUGCCACGGAUACCGAUGCUCUGUGAUACACUCUCGAAGAGUCGAGUUGUUUGGGAAUGCAGCUCAAAUUGGGUGGUAAAUUCCAUCUAAAGCUAAAUAUUGGCGAGAGACCGAUAGCAAACAAGUACCGUGAGGGAAAGAUGAAAAGCACUUUGGAAAGAGAGUUAACAGUACGUGAAAUUGUUGAAAGGGAAACGAAUGAAGUCAGACGUGCGUGUUGCGAUUCAGCUCUGGUUCGCCAGGGUGUAUUUCGUAACUUUGCAGGCCAACAUCGGUUUUCUGAGUCGGAUAAAGGUUUGAGGAAGGUGGCGCUCCAGGGCGUGUUAUAGCCUCUUGCUGAAUACGAUUCGGGGGACCGAGGAACGCAGAGCGCCGCAAGGCAAAGGUUACGACCUUUUCGCUCUUAGGAUGUUGGUGAAAUGGCUUUAUACGACC
rnacentral:rRNA from 1 species